rnacentral:rRNA from 1 species
GAUGAACGCUGGCGGCGUGCCUAACACAUGCAAGUCGAGCGAAGCGCCUUACUUGAUUUCUUCGGGAUGAAGUAUUGUGACUGAGCGGCGACGGGUGAGUACGCUGAUACUGCUCAUACAGGGGGAUAACAGUUAGAAAUGACUGCUAAUACCGCAUAAGACCACAGCACCGCAUGGUGCAGGGGUAAAAACUCCGGUGGUAUGAGAUGGAUCCGCGUCUGAUUAGCUAGUUGGUAAGGUAACGGCUUACCAAGGCAACGAUCAGUAGCCGACCUGAGAGGGUGACCGGCCACAUUGGGACUGAGACACGGCCCAA